rfam:Gossypium arboreum cultivar AKA8401 contig_38473_1, whole genome shotgun sequence.
AACCCAUGGUGAGGGCACCAUCUCAGUAAGUCAUUAUACCUCUCCCAUGCAUCAUAUAAGGUUUCUAAGCCGAUUUGAAUGAAAUAAAAGAUAUCAUUCCUUAACUU